GUACACGCUGUGACUAGCAUAUCAAUAAGCGGAGGAAAAGAAACUAACAAGGAUUCCCCUAGUAACGGCGAGUGAAGCGGGAAGAGCUCAAAUUUGAAAUCUUAAAGGGUUUCCCUUUACGAAUUGUAGUUUAAAGAAGUGUUUUCUGUUGAGGUUUUGGUAAAAGUUCUUUGGAAUAGGACAUCAUAGAGGGUGAGAAUCCCGUAUUUGACCUUUACUUUCAACUUUGUGAUACACUUUCAAAGAGUCGGAUUGUUUGGGAAUGCAGUCCAAAAUGGGUGGUAAAUUUCAUCUAAAGCUAAAUAUUGGCGAGAGACCGAUAGCGAACAAGUACCGUGAGGGAAAGAUGAAAAGAACUUUGAAAAGAGAGUUAAACAGUACGUGAAAUUGUCAAAAGGGAAGCGUUUGACACCAGUGUUGUUUUUCUGAAAAUCAAUUAAAGAACUGUUUAUGCUAAGCUGUUUAGACUUUAUCAGCUAUCUGUUUAGUUUUGAGCUUUUCUUUAAUGCACUUUUCAGUUAACAAGUCAACAUCAAUUUCUUUUGCUGUAAAAAAGCUUGAGGAAGGUGGCUUGAGAUUCGUCUUAAGUGUUUAUAGCCUCUUGCCUAUGCAGUCGGAGAGAUUGAGGUCUGCAGCGUAGAUCCUUCGGGGCUAAAUGCAUUUGUGCUAAGUUAUAGCAUUUUAUAGACAACUUGUUGACUAUGAUUUGUCUUGUAGCUUACUCGCUUAUGUUAUUUUACCCUACGCUUAGGAUGUUGAAGAUGUAGCACAUCAU
rnacentral:rRNA from 1 species